rnacentral:rRNA from 1 species
AGAGUUUGAUCAUGGCUCAGGACGAACGCUGGCGGUAUGCUUAAUACAUGCAAGUCGAACGGAGCUUAGCGGAAGCUUGCUUCUGCGAAAGCUUAGUGGCGGACGGGUGAGUAACGCGUGAGUAACCUGCCUUAAAGAGGGGGAUAACACAGAGAAAUUUGUGCUAAUACCGCAUAAUGUAGCGAAGCCGCAUGACUUUGCUACCAAAGGUCAGCCGCUUUAAGAUGGACUCGCGUCCGAUUAGGUAGUUGGUGAGGUAACGGCCCACCAAGCCGACGAUCGGUAGCCGGACUGAGAGGUCGAACGGCCACAUUGGGACUGAGACACGGCCCAGACUCCUACGGGAGGCAGCAGUAGGGAAUAUUGCGCAAUGGGGGCAACCCUGACGCAGCAAUACCGCGUGAAGGAUGACGGUUUUCGGAUUGUAAACUUCAGCAAGCAGGGAAGAAAAAAAUGACGGUACCUGAACAAAAGCCGCGGCUAACUACGUGCCAGCAGCCGCGGUAAUACGUAGGUGGCAAGCGUUGUCCGGAUUUACUGGGUGUAAAGGGCGUGUAGGCGGGUGCCUAAGUCAGACGUGAAAUACCGGGGCUCAACUCCGGGGCUGCGUUUGAAACUGGGUGUCUUGAGUGCAGGAAAGGAUAGCGGAAUUCCUAGUGUAGCGGUGAAAUGCGUAGAGAUUAGGAGGAACACCAGUGGCGAAGGCGGCUAUCUGGACUGUAACUGACGCUGAGGCGCGAAAGUGUGGGGAGCAAACAGGAUUAGAUACCCUGGUAGUCCACACCGUAAACGAUGGAUACUAGGUGUCGGGGGUAUCGAGCCCCUCGGUGCCGCAGUUAACACAAUAAGUAUCCCACCUGGGGAGUACGAUCGCAAGGUUGAAACUCAAAGGAAUUGACGGGGACCCGCACAAGCAGUGGAGUAUGUGGUUUAAUUCGAUGAUACGCGAGGAACCUUACCCGGGCUUGAACUGCCAGCGAACGAUUCAGAGAUGAUGAGGCCCUUCGGGGCGCUGGUGGAGGUGCUGCAUGGUUGUCGUCAGCUCGUGCCGUGAGGUGUCGGCUUAAGUGCCAUAACGAGCGCAACCCCUUUCUCCAGUUGCCAUCAGGUUAAGCUGGGCACUCUGGAGACACUGCCACCGUAAGGUGUGAGGAAGGUGGGGAUGACGUCAAAUCAGCACGGCCCUUACGUCCGGGGCUACACACGUGUUACAAUGGGUGGUACAGAGAGUCGGUCGCUGGCAAUAGCGAUCCAAUCCUAAAAGCCAUCCUCAGUUCGGAUUGGGGUCUGCAACCCGACCCCAUGAAGCUGGAUUCGCUAGUAAUCGCGCAUCAGCCAUGGCGCGGUGAAUACGUUCCCGGGCCUUGUACACACCGCCCGUCAAGCCAUGAAAGCCGGGGGCGCCUGAAGUCCGUGACCGCGAGGGUCGGCCUAGGGUGAAACCGGUGAUUGGGGCUAAGUCGUAACAAGGUAACCGUA